UCAAGAAUAACUAAUUUUUACAUGUUUAACAUCAUUGAAUGGGCAUGUAAUUUGCCGUCAAAUCGCAUUAUAAUGAUGAUAUGAACGUUAUAAAUCGAACAAUGUUGUGAAAAAAAAAAAAAAACAUACAAAGAUUAUACAAUUGCGCUUCUUCUCUGUCCCUGCGCUUUUCAUCCGCACGCGCUCUACAUUCCUGGCCUUUAGGCUACAGAUUUCGCGCGUUCUAAAUACUUAAAAGUUAACGGUUAUUCCUCUUAAUCGCCUGCUGAUUCAUCUCAAGUGAAUACAUUUGAUCGACUUUAUCUGGUUGAAGGGAUGUAAAGCGUACAAAAGACAGAGAGAAGCGGAGAUCCAUCAAACUAAUAUUCAGUGGUGACGCAGGAAAAAUUCUUAGCCGUCGGCUGCUCUUUGGAUGUUGAGGCCAUUUCUUCAUCAGAAGAUGAACUGGUGUUUUCACCUGAGAGGAACAAAUGGUUUCUUCUCUCGACUCCUUCGAAUUCCUGCAGUCCACCAGUUUGACGGAGCACGUUUUCAUUGGCGUCUGUGGCAUCUGCUGUUCUCCAGCGUUACAGUCAGACCCCAGAGACUCUGUGGAGU